GCCGCCAUGGAGGUAGCAGGCCGUGGUUCGCCUCGGGCGCAACAGCCGCAACUCCCUCACCGGAUCCGAUCUCCUCUACGCCGCGGAGUAUCUGGCAGAUCCGGUGGCCACCGUUGAGGAGGUUGCUGGAUUCGACAAGAUCCGCGAGGUUCCAUGAUGCCUAGAGCUCCAUGUAGCAACGGCCUGAGAUCUGAACCGACGACGUUGCGCUCUUGUCGGAUCUGGGAAGGAGAGGAGCAACAGUGCCUUUCUCAUGUUUAUCGUGCAGGCAGCAGGCAAGUUACUUGGCUGUUUUUCAGUUCCUAUGUUCAACAAAUGCGUUGCAUCUUCAAAUGUGUUGAGGUCGUUAUCUUUUGCUUUGAUUCCCUAUGUUCUUUGUUUGAUUUCAUGUCUUGCAUUUCACACCUGAUGCUGCCUAACUACACUUUUGCAUUUUCCUUUAAGGUAAUAGUGCUGAGGAUUGCGGCGGAGUGGCUCACGGCAGAUGGCAAGCACUGGAGUUACUAGAAAUUGGAUUUUCAGUCCCAAUAUACAUGUGCACAAAUUCGUUGUGUUGCUGCUGCACCGAUGAAAUGUUUGGCGGUUCAUGUUCUUAGGGAAUUUUUGUGAGAUGCUAAAUUUUAAAGAUCAUCUAUUGUUUGCUUGAAAUUCUACUGUAAUUUUUUGUUGUUUAAUGUAAUUUAUCCCAAAUGUUGAAUGAAGAUGGUUUCUUA